UGACAAAGGAUGACAUGUGACGCUGGAAGCCGCAUGUUGAGAUGCAUCACAAGAUGGGCAAACUUCCAUCAGCCUGGGUCCCUGAGGUUCUAAGUGGAACAGAGUUGUUUGCUAACCCGUAAUGGAUAUGAAACACAAAUGAGAAAUAAGCUUUUGUUGUUAAGCUGUUUUCAGGGUUGUCAUUACCAGAGCAUAACCACACCUAUCAUAAUUAAAACUGUAACAGAAAUAGGAUCAGGAGUAUGGGAGUGUGAGUGGGGCAGGUUAAAGUAUUAAAAGAUAGUCAGUGUAGGCUUUAUAUUGACAAGCUGAGAUUUAAGGCAAGACUGGAUGGAAGUGAGAGAAUUAGCCAACCAGGUAUCUGAGGAAAGAACAUAUAUGAGGGAGUGGGAUCAGGUAGAGCAAAGUCUUGAGGAAAUGCGACUGGCAAGGAAGCUAGUGUGGCUGGAACAGAGAGCAGGUAGGAGGAGAGGUGAGAGAGGUCAUGGCAACCAGAGCCUGAGAGCCCUCCGUAAGAAAUCUGAUUUUGGGGGGAAUCAAAUGGGGAGCCAUUGCAGGGUUUUGAGCACAGCAGUGUCAUGGGAUUAGACAACAAGGGAGCAAGGGUGGAAGCAGGAAGACCAGUUAGGAGGCUGCUGUUACAAUCUAGGUGAGAGAUGAUAACAGUGGCUUUUGUCGCUGUAGCAGGCACUCAGGUUUUUUCAAUUUUUCUGUUAAUUUUUUUUUUAAACUGUUAAUAGCAAGGGAGAGGCAAAGAAGUAAAAACUACCACCACCACCA